rnacentral:rRNA from 1 species
UACGUAGGUGGCAAGCGUUGUCCGGAAUUAUUGGGCGUAAAGCGCGCGCAGGUGGUUUCUUAAGUCUGAUGUGAAAGCCCACGGCUCAACCGUGGAGGGUCAUUGGAAACUGGGGAACUUGAGUGCAGGAGAGAAGAGUGGAAUUCCACGUGUAGCGGUGAAAUGCGUAGAGAUGUGGAGGAAAACCAGUGGCGAAGGCGACUCUUUGGCCUGUAACUGACACUGAGGCGCGAAAGCGUGGGGAGCAAACAGG